AGCACCUGUUUUGAGAUUUGGGAGAAGAACUUUACGGGGCUUAUGUAAAAUAAAGAAACUAGAUCAGCUAUUUAUUUUAAAAAGCGGUGCUUUAGUCACUCACAUGUUACCUUCAACCGGUGGAACACCAAUAUGUGAUAUUGGAAAAUGUGUCAUUUCUUAAACCAGUAGACAUAGGCUAUUACACAACACUAUGCAAAACGAACCACAAGUCGAUAACAUCAAAUUAUCGGAACUUCUAACACAUGAACAACAUAAACAGCUGUGGCGAUAAGUAAAUCUCGUGCCCCGGUUCCGGACCAAGCGUACCCACCCUACCAUGAGACGAACAACUACUCGUGUCUACUACUCUCCCCGUCAUUGCUCUCCUCACGAUAUCUCCAAGUUGCUAUUAAUAAAUUUGCACUCGUGAACAUUUUGGGAAUUUUUAAACAGAAUAUUGUUUGUUGGCAACACUAAUACGGAACAGGAGACGAAAGCACGACCAGGAGUUAUUGCCAGUCAACAAAAGAAAGGAAAACAAGAAGAGAGAUAUACACACAGGUGGGCCGCGCCGGCUGGCUCAUCGGUUUCUCUGGGUGCAGUCCCAUCCCUCCCCCGCAGUCCGCACAAUCUAUAACAUCGAAGCUACACGUCUGUAGCAAAACAGACUAAUAGCCUCUGUCCACUGAUCACAUUUCUGACACAUUUCAGAAAAUUCCACAUUUUUGACAAAUGUGUAAUAUGCGCCCUGUGCGUUUCCCCAUAAGAAAUCUCAUAUCACACAUCUUUCAAAAAAGGCACAUUUUCCAGAUAUGUGUAAAUUCGCCCCGAAUAUUUCGUGUUUUUUGCGAUAAUUAAUCGAGAUUUCGAUCGAUGUUGUGAAAAAUGGUUAACAUAAACAGCUGAUAUAUCAACGAAGGCAAGCGGCAACAUUAAAAAAGAAAUUGAGAAUUAAACUAAUCCCACAGAUUUUAGAAUUUAAACAUGGCGAAAUCUCGAAAAGAGUGCCUAAAAUGGAGCCCUUACUUCGAGAGCACCAGUUUUGAGAUUUGGGAGAAGAACUUUACGGGGCUUAUGUAAAAUAAAGAAACUAGAUCAGCUAUUUAUUUUAAAAAGCGGUGCUUUAGUCACUCACAUGUUACCUUCAACCGGUGGAACACCAAUAUGUGAUAUUGGAAAAUGUGUCAUUUCUUAAACCAGUAGACAUAGGCUAUUACACAACACUAUGCAAAACGAACCACAAGUCGAUAACAUCAAAUUAUCGGAACUUCUAACACAUGAACAACAUAAACAGCUGUGGCGAUAAGUAAAUCUCGUGCCCCGGUUCCGGACCCAGCGUACCCACCCUACCAUGAGACGAACAACUACUCGUGUCUACUACUCUCCCCGUCAUUGCUCUCCUCACGAUAUCUCCAAGUUGCUAUUAAUAAAUUUGCACUCGUGAACAUUUUGGGAAUUUUUAAACAGGUGCAUACGAUAAAUUGAAUAUUGUUUGUUGGCAACACUAAUACGGAACAGGAGACGAAAGCACGACCAGGAGUUAUUGCCAGUCAACAAAAGAAAGGAAAACAAGAAGAGAGAUAUACACACAGACACAAUAAUCUUUGGGCACUUUGCUUCCCUGUCCGCACUUUCGGAAAUUUAUUUAAUUUAGACUAGUCGGAGCACAAUGACUAUGCCGUUUACUCAGGAGGAGGCACGAAAUGGAACAGACUCACUCGGAUGAUAUGGGCGUGGUCUCGCCAGUGACCGCCUCUUCGUAGGGGGAGUCCCGUCCGUGUUAGCUCGUCUCGCCGUCGUGUGGAUUACACGGUCGAGUAUCGGUGUUUUGGAAAUCCGGCCCGUGAAUAUUUGACUUGAUCUGGCCAGCGUCCUCCGUAGAGUAUCCUCUAGUAGAGUAUCGCUUUUAUCGUCGUCUUUAACGUGUUGUGUGUAUUAUCGUUCUUUUGUACUAUUUCGUUUUGCAAUAUGUGUGCACACAAUGAAUUAUCUUGGCAAUUUAUUAAUAAAGAAAACCCGUCGUGAACGAAUAUA